rnacentral:rRNA from 1 species
UACGGAGGGUGCAAACGUUGCUCGGAAUCAUUGGGCGUAAAGCGCACGUAGGCGGCUUGUUAAGUCGGGUGUGAAAUCCCUGGGCUCAACCCAGGAAGUGCACUCGAAACUGGCGAGCUUGAAUAUGGAAGAGGGUCGCGGAAUUCCCGGUGUAGAGGUGAAAUGCGUAGAGAUCGGUCAGAACACCAGUGGCGAAGGCGGCACCCUGGGCCAGAACUGACGCUGAGACGCGAAAGCGUGGGGAGCGAACGGA